rnacentral:tRNA from 1 species
GGGCCCGUAGCGCAGUUGGGAGCGCGCCUCCUUGGCGUGGAGGAGAUCAGGGGUUCGAGUCCCCUCGGGUCCA